AGAGUUUGAUCCUGGCUCAGAUUGAACGCUGGCGGCAUGCUUUACACAUGCAAGUCGAACGGCAGCGGGGGCUUCGGCCUGCCGGCGAGUGGCGAACGGGUGAGUAAUGCAUCGGAACGUGCCCAGUCAUGGGGGAUAACUACGCGAAAGCGUAGCUAAUACCGCAUACGCCCUGAGGGGGAAAGCGGGGGAUCGCAAGACCUCGCGUGGUUGGAGCGGCCGAUGUCGGAUUAGCUAGUUGGUGGGGUAAAGGCCUACCAAGGCGACGAUCCGUAGCGGGUCUGAGAGGAUGAUCCGCCACACUGGGACUGAGACACGGCCCAGACUCCUACGGGAGGCAGCAGUGGGGAAUUUUGGACAAUGGGGGCAACCCUGAUCCAGCCAUGCCGCGUGAGUGAAGAAGGCCUUCGGGUUGUAAAGCUCUUUCAGACGGAA
rnacentral:rRNA from 1 species